UACGUAGGGUGCAAGCGUUGUCCGGAAUCAUUGGGCGUAAAGCGCGCGUAGGUGGCCUCAUAAGUCCGCUGUGAAAGUCAAAGGCUCAACCUUUGAAAGCCGGUGGAUACUGUGGGGCUAGAGUACGGAAGAGGCGAGUGGAAUUCCUGGUGUAGCGGUGGAAUGCGCAGAUAUCAGGAGGAACACCAAUAGCGAAGGCAGCUCGCUGGGACGUACUGACACUGAGGCGCGAAAGCGUGGGGAGCGAACAGG
rnacentral:rRNA from 1 species